GCCCUCGUUGGCCGAGAGGAUCAGGCAGCAGAUUGCAAAUCUGCCAUACAUCGGUUCAAAUCCGAUACGAGGCUCCAG
rnacentral:tRNA from 2 species